rnacentral:rRNA from 1 species
ACGGGAGGCAGCAGUGGGGAAUUUUGCGCAAUGGGGGCAACCCUGACGCAGCAACGCCGCGUGCGGGAUGGAGGCCUUCGGGCUGUGAACCGCUUUCAGCAGGGAAGACAUCGACGGUACCUGCAGAAGAAGCCCCGGCUAAAUACGUGCCAACAGCCGCGGUAAUACGUAUGGGGCGAGCGUUAUCCGGAUUCAUUGGGCGUAAAGCGCGCGUAGGCGGCUGCCUAAGCGGAGUUUCUAACCUUGGGGCUCAACCUCAAGCCGGACUCCGAACUGGGCGGCUCGAGUGCGGUAGGGGCAGGCGGAAUUCCACGUGUAGCGGUGAAAUGCGCAGAUAUGUGGAGGAACACCGAUGGCGAAGGCAGCCUGCUGGGCCGCCACUGACGCUGAGGCGCGAAAGCUAGGGGAGCGAACAGGAUUAGAUACCCUGGUA